CGGACGGCUGAGUAACACGUAGGAACGUACCCCAAACUGAGGGAUAAGCACCAGAAAUGGUGUCUAAUACCGCAUGUGCUCUAAGGAGUAAAGCUUUAUGCGCUUUGGGAACGGCCUGCGUCCGAUUAGCUUGUUGGUGAGGUAAUAGCUCACCAAGGCGACGAUCGGUAGCUGGUCUGAGAGGAUGAUCAGCCAGACUGGGACUGAGAACGGCCCAG
rnacentral:rRNA from 1 species